ensembl:lncRNA
CAACCACAGAGGAACCAAUAACCUCCCCUCCUCUGACAACAAACCUCACAACCACAGAGGAACCAAUAACCUCCCCUCCUCUGACAACAAACCUCACAACCACAGAGGAACCAACAAACUCUCCUCCUCUAACAACAAACCUCACAACCACAGGGGAACCAACCUCUCCUCCUUUGACAAUACAACUCACGACCACACAGAUUUCACCUGCACUUCCAAAUACCACCCAAACAACUACUGAACUCACAACCACACCCACAAAUGUCAGUACGUACGCUCCCACAACUACCACAACUACCACAACCACCACAGCAUCCACAACUUUAAGUACACACCCAACCACCAAUCUCACAACCCAUAUUGGUGACGGUACAACAACGAGCAGUGGGUCUACCAUCAGAACCACAGAGGAACCAACAACCUCCCCUCCUCCGGCAAUAAACCUCACAACAACAGAGGAACAAACAACCUCCCCUCCUCUGACAAUAAACCUCACAACCACAGAGGAACCAACAACCUCCCCUCCUCUGACAACAAACCUCACGACCACAGAGGAACCAACACCCUCCCCUCCUCUGACAACAAACCUCACGACCACAGAGGAACCAACAACCUCCCCUCCUCUGACAAUAAACCUCACAACCACAGCGGAACCAACAACCUCCCCUCCUCUGACAAUAAACAUCACAACAACAGAGGAACCAACAACCUCCCCUCCUCUGACAAUAAACCUCACAACCACAGAGGAACCAACAACCUCCCCUCCUCUGACAAUAAACCUCACAACCACAGAGGAACCAAUAACCUCCCCUCCUCUGACAACA